rnacentral:hammerhead_ribozyme from 1 species
AUCUUGCGACGAGUUCCGAAUAGAACGAAACGCGCGUCCUGGAU